GGGCCGGGGCCGGGGCCGGGGCUCGCCGCUCUGCCCGGGAGCUGUGGGCUCAGUGGGGGUGGUGAGCCCAGGGGUGCGAGUUAACCUGAGACUGGAAAAAGGCAUACGCGGGAUGAAGGGUGGAACUGGAAGGCUUUCGCGUUGUGUCCAGUUCAGGGCUCCUCAGGAGAAGAGAGACAAGGAGCUACUGGAGUCAGUCAAGUGGAGGAGCACAAAGAUGAUUUGGGGCCUGGAGCAUUUCUCUUCUGAGGGCAGACUGCAGGAGCUGGGCCUGAGAUGACUGGGAGAGGAUCUCCGUAAUGUGUAUAAACAAAGUGGCUCUGUAAUGUGUAUAAAUAAAGUGGAUGCCAAGACGGUGG